UUCCUUUUCCAAAAUAGAGUUACAUUUACCAGAUGUUUUUAUCCAAAGGGACGUAGAGUCAGUAGCACUGGACAUCAAACCCAUGACCUUACUUGUGUUUGCACCUGGCCCUACCACUGGAGCUCCAGGUACACGCAUGUAUGUGGCAGUGCUAUCUGUUCAUGUGUGUGGCAGUGCUAUCUGUUCAUGUGUGUGGCAGUGCUAUCUGUUCAUGUGUGUGGCAGUGCUAUCUGUUCAUGUGUGUGGCAGUGCUAUCUGUUCAUGUGUGUGGCAGUGCUAUCUGUUCAUGUGUGUGGCAGUGCUAUCUGUUCAUGUAUAAGGUUAAAACGUCCCAAAGAAAAGGUGCCUUCAGGGGGAUAGGGGUAUUUAUGGGAUGGACAAUUGAAUCAAUUGCUUGUUUGUAAUGUGAUGGGAAAAAGUCAAUAAAACGACCUUUGAAAAUGAAAACUUGACUCGUACCGUAAAAUAAUUUCCACUCAGAAGAAUGAAUCUGGAAGGUUCUUUUGUCUUAUAUAUAUAUAUGAACUAAGAAUCCUGUUUACUGAGCUAAAUAAUGUCCUGUUUACUGAGCUAAAUAAUGUCCUGUUUACUAAAUAAUGUCCUGUUUACUGAGCUAAAUAAUGUCCUGUUUACUAAAUAAUGUCCUGUUUACUGAGCUAAAUAAUGUCCUGUUUACUAAAUAAUGUCCUGUUUACUGAGCUAAAUAAUGUCCUGUUUACUGAGCUAAAUAAUGUCCUGUUUACUAAAUAAUGUCCUGUUUACUGAGCUAAAUAAUGUCCUGUUUACUGAGCUAAAUAAUGUCCUGUUUACUAAAUAAUAUCCUGUUUACUGAGCUAAAUAAUGUCCUGUUUACUGAGCUACAUAAUGUCCUGUUUACUGAGCUAAAUAAUGGAGGAAGCUGAGCCACCGGCUCUCCAGUAGACCAGUAUGCUCUGUGCAGUUCUGAUUCAUAAUCAACAAUCAAUGACCCCAACGAAUCAAUUAAUAAAUAACCCAAGAAAAAGUUAUGUAAUGGCCUAUCAGGACAAUACUUGUGUUCAAGCCUUUCAUGUGAGUGGCCACAAUCAAACAAACAUUUGUUUACCUGCCCAUUUGUUUAUCAAGGCUCUGACACAUUCCCAGCUGCACCAGUGGACUGAAUGAUAUGCAGAGCCGUAUGGAAAUGAACGUGGAAACAGAGAGGAAUAGGGAGGAAUUAAAUCAAAAGUUUGUGUGUUACCGUCAUCAAAGAUGAACGAACGUUAAUUCCUUAUUUGAGCUAUUUAGUUGUGUGUUACCGCCAUAAAAGAUGAAUGAACGUCACUUCUUUAGUUCUGACCGAUGGCCUGCUUGCUUGCAGUCUCUCUCUCUCUGUAUGUGUUUGUAAUCAGACAAUCUAGAUAAGUGCAUAAGGUUCAGUGUGAAUCGGCAGACAGUGACGAUCAGUUCACAUUCUUUAAGAGCCAUGCAUUCUCACGCAUUAUCCACUGUAGAGCAGGGACUUUUACUGCCUGUCAUCAGUGCGUGCUACAUAGGAGAACUAUUAACAGACAGAAGUAAAAGAGGAAGAAGCCGCCUGAGCACUAGUCAUGAAAGCACUCUCUGAAAGCCAGAGGUAAUAAAACCCUACAGCGAUGCCUCCCUGCACAAAUGCAACAAGAGGAGUUACACCAGUCAGUUCCAGCACGACUUUUGUUUAAGGAAGAGUAGACAAAAGAAGUAGAUCAAGUAUCCAUCUCGCGCUACAUAUCUGAUGAAUGAGCAAACGUCCUGUCUUUCCCAUUUCAUGGUUUCUUGCUUAAUCUUUCUUUCUUUUUUUUCUUAUUAAACGUUCCACAGUACCCGGUGGCAUAAUAUUUAAUUGACAGGAGUGUGGGCUAGGACUUUGACCUUAGGCUGGAGGGAGCUGUAUGCAGUUGCUUAAUAACACAUUCAAAGGCCUGUUCAAGGUAACGUGAUCUGAAAUGCGAACAACGAAUAUGGUGUAAUAUUAGGGAACUGAGAGCCACAUCAAAUCCCCCAUGUAAAUAGGAGUGCAGUGUUUGACAGAACUAUUCAAAUAGGCAGGAAGGUUUACUGCCUAUACAGUAAAUUAUGUCAUGGAAUAUGCUUCGACAAAUAAAGAUCUUGUGUUGAACACGUCAUAGGUAUCAUAACCCUGUUUGAUUUGACAGAAGGAGAAGUACUUUCAACCACACCCAAAAACAGGUUUUAAGGGAGACAACAUUUAGUUAUGCGCAUCAUAAACACUUCCUACGAACUGAAUCCAUUUCAUAAACACGUUGCAUAGUACCUCAGGUUUGCCUUCAGUAGAGAACUGCAACACACAAUUCAAAACUCCAACGAACUGCCUGCUGAAUUAUCCAAUCGUAAUCUCUGCCCGUUUGUAAUGAAGUCAAAUCUCUGGUACUUUUACUCUGUCUCUACACACACAAGCACUGCUGUGUGAGUGUGUGUGUGUGUGUGUGUGUGUGUGUGUGUGUGUGUGUGUGUGUGUGUGUGUGUGUGAUCUUGGCGUGACGGGGAACAGAAAGAAGAGCACAGCACCUGAGCAACCAUGAGCAGCCUGAUGAGAGACAGAAGAGUUAAACAGGAGAGUUGGACAGGAGAGUUAAACAGGAGAGUUAAACAGGAGAGUUGGACAGUAGAGUUGGACAGGAGAGUUAAACAGGAGAGUUGGACAGGAGAGUUAAACAGGAGAGUUAAACAGUAGAGUUGGACAGGAGAGUUAAACAGGAGAUUAAACAGUAGAGUUAAACAGGAGAGUUAAACAGGAGAGUUAAACAGGAGAGUUGGACAGGAGAGUUAGACAGGAGAGUUAAACAGUAGAGUUAAACAGUAGAGUUGGACAGGAGAGUUAACAGGAGAGUUAGACAGGAGAGUUAACAGGAGAGUUAAACAGUAGAGUUGGACAGGAGAGUUAAACAGGAGAGUUGGACAGGAGAGUUAAACAGUAGAGUUAAACAGUAGAGUU
ensembl:lncRNA